rnacentral:rRNA from 1 species
GGAUUAGAUACCCUGGUAGUCCACGCCGUAAACGAUGGACGCUCGGCGUUUGCGGGCUAUCAACGUCCGUGAGCGCCUCAGCUAACGCGGUAAGCGUCCCGCCUGGGAACUACGGCCGCAAGGCUAAAACUCAAAGGAAUUGACGGGGGCCCGCACAAGCAGCGGAGCGUGUGGUUUAAUUCGACAACGCGCAGAACCUUACCCAGACUUGACAUGUAUCUGCAUAAUCCCGAAACGGAUUAGCCUUCGAGGGUGAUACACAGGUGCUGCAUGGCUGUCGUCAGCUCGUGCCG